GGGGAUUUAGCUCAUUGAUAGAGCAAUUGCCUAGCAAGCACAAGGCCCUGGGUUCGGUCCCCAGCUCCA
rnacentral:tRNA from 1 species